rnacentral:rRNA from 1 species
UACGUAGGGCGCAAGCGUUGUCCGGAAUUAUUGGGCGUAAAGAGCGUGUAGGCGGCCCGGUAAGUCCGCUGUGAAAUCUCGAGGCUCAACUUCGAGCUGUCGGUGGAAACUGUCUGGCUAGAGUCCGGAAGAGGAGAAUGGAAUUCCUGGUGUAGCGGUGAAAUGCGCAGAUAUCAGGAAGAACACCCGUGGCGAAGGCGGUUCUCUGGGACGGUACUGACGCUGAGACGCGAAAGCGUGGGGAGCGAACAGG